GUGCCCCCCUCCGCGGUAAUACGGAGGGUGCAAGCGUUAAUCGGAAUUACUGGGCGUAAAGCGCACGCGGGCGGUCUGCCAAGUCGGAUGUGAAAUCCCCGGGCUCAACCUGGGAACUGCAUUCGAAACUGGCAGGCUGGAGUCUUGUAGAGGGGGGUAGAAUUCCAGGUGUAGCGGUGAAAUGCGUAGAGAUCUGGAGGAAUACCGGUGGCGAAGGCGGCCCCCUGGACAAAGACUGACGCUCAGGUGCGAAAGCGUGGGGAGCAAACAGGAUUAGAUACCCUGGUAGUCCACGCCGUAAACGAUGUCGACUUGGAGGUUGUGCCCUUGAGGCGUGGCUUCCGGAGCUAACGCGUUAAGUCGACCGCCUGGGGAGUACGGCCGCAAGGUUAAAACUCAAAUGAAUUGACGGGGGCCCGCACAAGCGGUGGAGCAUGUGGUUUAAUUCGAUGCAACGCGAAGAACCUUACCUACUCUUGACAUCCCAGAGAACUUAGCAGAGAUGCUUUGGUGCCUUCGGGAACUCUGAGACAGGUGCUGCAUGGCUGUCGUCAGCUCGUGUUGUGAAAAUGUUGGGUUAAGUCCCGCAAACGAGCG
rnacentral:rRNA from 1 species